rnacentral:rRNA from 1 species
UACGUAGGUGGCAAGCGUUGUCCGGAUUUACUGGGCGUAAAGGGCGUGCAGGCGGUUUGUUAAGUGCAGGGUGAAAGCUCCCGGCUCAACUGGGAGAGGGCCUUGCAUACUGGCAAGCUCGAGGGAGGCAGAGGAAAGUGGAAUUCCCGGUGUAGUGGUGAUAUGCGUAGAUAUCGGGAGGAACACCUGUGGCGAAGGCGGCUUUCUGGGCCUUACCUGACGCUGAGGCGCGAAAGCUAGGGGAGCAAACAGG